rnacentral:rRNA from 1 species
GGCGGACGGGUGAGUAACACGUGAACAAUCUGCCCUCAAAUUUGGGAUAACGGCUCCAACGAGCCGCUAAUACCGGAUAGGUUUAUCUGAUCACCUGGUUGGAUAAAGAAAGUUGCAACUGCAACGUUUGAGGAUGAGUUCGCGGCCCAUUAGCUAGUUGGCGGGGUAAAGGCCCACCAAGGCGACGAUGGGUAGCCGGCCUGAGAGGGUGAUCGGCCACAUUGGGACUGAGAUACGGCCCAGACUCCUACGGGAGGCAGCAGUAGGGAAUUUUGCGCAAUGGACGAAAGUCUGACGCAGCAACACCGUGUGAGGGAUGAAGCAUUUCGGUGUGUAAACCUCUGUCGAUGAUGAAUAAAGCGUGUGGGAGUGGAAAGCCCAUGCGUUGAAGGUAAUCAUGAAGGAAGCACCGGCUAACUCUGUGCCAGCAGCCGCGGUAAUACAGGGGGUGCAAGCGUUGUUCGGAAUCACUGGGCGUAAAGGGAGCGUAGGCGGAACUACAAGACAGGGGUUAAAGAUCCGGGCUCAACCUGGAGAGUGCCUUUGUGACUGUGGUUCUUGAGUAUGGUAGAGGUCAGCGGAAUUUCCGGUGUAGCGGUGGAAUGCGUAGAGAUCGGAAAGAACACCAGAGGCGAAGGCGGCUGACUGGACCAAUACUGACGCUGAGGCUCGAAAGCGUGGGGAGCAAAC